AACGAACGCUGGCGGCAUGCCUAACACAUGCGAGUCGAACGAGACCUUCGGGUCUAGUGGCGCACGGGUGCGUAACGCGUGGGAACCUGCCCUUAGGUUCGGAAUAACUCCCCGAAAGGGGUGCUAAUACCGGAUAAUGUCUUCGGACCAAAGAUUUAUCGCCUUUGGAUGGGCCCGCGUUGGAUUAGCUAGUUGGUAGGGUAAAAGCCUACCAAGGCGACGAUCCAUAGCUGGUCUGAGAGGAUGAUCAGCCACACUGGGACUGAGACACGGCCCAGACGCGUGCGGGAGGCAGCAGGGGGGAAUAUUGUAGAGUGGGCGAGAGCCUUAACCCGCUAUGCCGCGUGAGUGAAGAAGGCCUUAGGGUUGAAAAGGUCGUUUACCCGGGAUGAUAAUGACAGGAGAGGGAGAAUAAGCUCCGGCGAACUCCGUG
rnacentral:rRNA from 1 species